rnacentral:rRNA from 1 species
AAUGGACGAAAGUCUGACGGAGCGACGCCGCGUGGAUGAAGAAGGCCGAAAGGUUGUAAAGUUCUUUUGUUGGGGAAGAAUAACCAUGGGAGGGAAUGCCCGUGGGAUGACAUGAACCGACGAAUAAGCCCCGGCUAACUACGUGCCAGCAGCCGCGGUAACACGUAGGGGGCGAGCGUUGUUCGGAAUUACUGGGCGUAAAGGGCAUGUAGGCGGUCUUGUAAGCUUGGCGUGAAAGACCACGGCUCAACCGUGGGAUUGCGUUGAGAACUGCGAGGCUUGAGUGACGGAGAGGGAGCUAGAAUUCCUGGUGUAGGGGUGGAAUCUGUAGAGAUCAGGAAGAAUACCAAUGGCGAAGGCAAGCUCCUGGCCGAUGACUGACGCUGAGGUGCGAAAGUGUGGGGAUCAAA